rnacentral:rRNA from 1 species
GACGAACGCUGGCGGCGUGCUUAACACAUGCAAGUCGAACGGAAAGGCCCCUUUGGGGGUACUCGAGUGGCGAACGGGUGAGUAACACGUGAGUAACCUGCCCUUGACUUCGGGAUAACUUCAGGAAACUGGGGCUAAUACCGGAUAGGAAUCCUUGCUGCAUGGUGGGGGUUGGAAAGCUUCGGCGGUUUUGGAUGGACUCGCGGCUUAUCAGCUUGUUGGUGGGGUAGUGGCUUACCAAGGCUUUGACGGGUAGCCGGCCUGAGAGGGCGACCGGCCACAUUGAGACUGAGAUACGGCCCAGACUCCGACGGGAGGCAGCAGUGGGGAAGAUUGCACAAUGGGCGGAAGCCUGAUGCAGCAACGCCGCGUGCGGGAUGACGGCCUUCGGGUUGUAAACCGCUUUCAGCAGGGGCGAAGCUUGUGGUGACGGUACCUGCAGAAGAAGCACCGGCUAACUACGUG